GCGCGUUCCCAACAACGCAAUGCUCAAGCUUUGAUAUUCAUUGACUGAGCCGGUACGCUAUUGGGUAUUUUCGAGAGGUGUUGCAUGGUGCAGACCAGAUGAAAGGAAACCUGAGCUGACCUCCUUUCAUGCUGUUCUUGAAUGGUCAGGACUCUCCAGGACCACCACAGAGCAGGUAUUAUUUGGAUGGUGGAUCAUUCUCAGCACUGCAAUGUCACUGACAUGGUGGUGGUGUGUUAAUGUGUGUUGUGCUGGUAUGAGUGGAUAAGACACAGCAGUGCUGCUGGAGUUUUUAAACACCUCGGUGUCACUGCUGGACUGAGAAUAGUCUACCAACCAGAAACAUCCGGCCAACAGUGCCCCGUGAGCAGCGUCCUGUGACCACUGAUGAAGAUCUCAAAGAUCACUCAAACAGCAGCAAUAGAUGAGUGAUCAUCUCUGACUUUACAUCUACAAGGUGGACCAACUAUGUAGGAGAGUCUAAUAGAGUGGACAGUGAGUGGCAACCAGUUGGCGAGCGAAAAUCAGGCGAGCAAAAAUCGUGUAGUGUGAACUAGGCAUGAAUUACUUUAAAAAAUUUGUUGCUUAGCAUUAAGGUGACUGGGUUUUUUUCUGACACUGGCAAGAGACCACUGUUCCAUGUAUUGUACUUAACAGGGUAUGUUCAAGCUAGCCCUCUCAUCUGUACCUCUAAGGGUAUAAAAAAGUCACAACAUUAAAAGUAAUUAGAAAAAUCUUUUUCAUAUAUAAAUCAAAUUAAUAUUUUACAUUAAUAAUUGAAUGAAUAAAUUAAGUUUAUUGAAUUCUGGACAAAGAAAAUGUUUUUAAUUAUAUUAAUCAACACUAAGUUGAAGAACAAGUAAAUUAUUACAAUUUUGUGUAUUCCAUGACAUAAGUGUGUUAACUUUUGACUUCAGUUGUAUAGUCAGUGCCUUUGAGAUGGUCUUUUAUCCUUUCUCAUGUCUUUGUGUCUCAAUAUGAGGAUCCCUAUUUUUUCC